UGACUUCUUGCGACCAACUCCCUUCGAGGUUCUUCACGUGACGUCACGUAAAAGAACAUCUAUAAGUGAUCUCUCCAUCUUGCGUCUGCACAUUCUGUGUCCUGCCAGCAACAAGACUAGAAAAAAUGAAGUUCUCUGCUAUUUUCCUUUUGGCUGUCAUAACCCUGGUCACCAUGAUGACGGUUGCCGAAGCAUUCCCGGCCGCUGAUGAUGCCGAAUCCCUCGUAAAACGAGAGUGGUCAAGAUUCUUUAACACUCCCACCCUGAACAAUAUUGAUAGGAACGUUGAGAAAAUAAUGAAAACAAUAACUGGGGAGGGCAAGUAGCAUUGAUGUAGCCAUUGUAGAAAUGACGCAGACUGCCGUAAUGUGCUUCUAGAAAAUAUUUCAAAAUUCUUGUAGGAAGAAGUAGACGAUGAAGUUCAUGUGGUAAAUAUAUGCACUUGGAGGCAAAACAU